CGCAAAAUGCCUUGCGCAUUACCAUCUUUUGCAGAAGUGGAUGUUAACAAGAGCUGUUACUGGCAGUCAACUGGUCAACUGUUAGUAAUAUACGAACAUGACCUAGGUACAAAUCUACUUUUUUUGGAAUCGAGUCCAAGAACGAUCAUUACUUGAACGACUGCGCAUCCACGGGAAUGGCAUACUGGAAUACCUAUUAUAGAACAAGUCAGAAUGAAUUUCAAUCGAAAUUAUUCAGUUUUCCUUAUAAAACACAAUAGAAAAAUUUAGGGCAUAAUUGAAUAAUUCCGAUCGGUUAACAUCUCGAUUCUCGGAGCAGAGCGAGGCAAUUAUUUCUGCCAGAUUCUUUCGUUUCAUGCAGAAACGCGUCAAAUAAGCUAUUUGUGCCAUUUCUAAUUUCAUCAUUUAUUAUUAUUAAAAUAAGAAUAGAAUGACACAAAUAGCAUCUCCCCAAAUAUAUCUCCUUUAGGUCCGGUUGCACCAACGUUACUUUAACUUUAAGCAAGACUUUCUUGUUUUCUUUAAAGCGAAAGAAUCACAAGCGUUCACUCAGACACUCAACUGUUGAGUUUACUCUAUUGAAUCAUUGACGUAAUAAUAUAUAAAGAUAUGUAUGUUAAUGUUUCGCAUUUUAUUGAUAAAACAGAGAUCUCGUUGAAAUUCCCCUUAAGCUCAAAAAUAUGCUCAAGUAAUUAUUGAAUUACAUAGAAAGGUAAUUUAAAAAAAAUCGAAUGCUACUUGUAUUGUACUAUAUUGUAUCUGUAUAUUUCUUAUAUAGAGACUUGUAGAGACAAUUUACUAUAGCGCUUAUAGACAUUCGAAUUUCUCUGCACAGUGACAAAGUAAUCUACUUAUAUCAUACGAAUAAUUGAAAACUUACAGUGAUAGAUUACAGUCAAAAUCGC